UACGUAGGGUGCAAGCGUUAAUCGGAAUUACUAGGGCGUAACGUGCGCAGGCGGUGAUGUAAGACAGAUGUGAAAUCCCCGGGCUCAACCUGGGAACUGCAUUUGUGACUGCAUCGCUGGAGUGCGGCAGAGGGGAUGGAAUUCCGCGUGUAAGCAGUGAAAUGCGUAGAUAUGCGGAGGAACACCGAUGGCGAAGGCAAUCCCCUGGGCCUGCACUGACGCUCAUGCACGAAAAGCGUGGGGAGCAAACAGG
rnacentral:rRNA from 1 species